GACGGCACGGUUGAACAAGACGACGGAAUAGAAGUACCUUAUACUAUCGAUGCGAUACACUCAGGCAAGGAGCAACGUUGCAAUAUUUCGGAUGCUGUGACAACAUCGCAUCAACAUAGUAUUUCCAUUUCUCGAUGUUAUCUUUUAACGCAGAAUUGUCAUGGUUCAUUAUCGCUGUAUGGAAUAGCGCGAUGAAUAUUAGCGUCUUUAAAAUUACAAAAACGGGAGAUUUUGUGCGAUGAAAGUUAUACCACAUACAACGAGAAGUAUGCGUGCCCUACUGGUAGAAGUUAAAAAAUUUGAAAAUCUUGAUGUACAAAUAUACACAGUUAUAUAUAAGUAUAUGAAAAAGAUGUAAUUGUACAUGUCAGAUCACAAAAAUCAAUAAAUAAUUCAGUAUGUUUAAAAUCAAUUACAAUUGUUUCAAACGAAAUAUAAUUGUUUGUCUCGUUGAUCGGAAGUCCCGAAGUACCAAUUCGAAAGAAGAGACCGUCAUCUAUAUCUAAACGCUGCCGAGGCAGAAAUAUAACUUCUAGCGGCAUUCCAGUUGAAAAAAGAUAUGGUCGGGAAUGCAGAAACCACUUGAUCGACAUUGGGUAAAUAUGUUCUAACGCACGAACGUUGCCAAAAUAUUUCAGAGUAAUAAUCUUCGAUUGAGAGAUUUCCAGUAUUAGAACGUCACCGAGCAAAACCGAAGACGAGAAAUUGGAGCUGUUUUUGGAAGAAAAUCCAUCCCAGACAACAAUUUGGAAUCACUUGAUUUACUACCCACUUUACGAGGAUAGAUUAGGGUUACACAUCGGAUAUUGUGACUCGGAGAGACGUCCGUGAGAGUCGACCGUGGAACAUGGUCGUCACAGAGCCUAGGAAUGCAAGGCGGAUCAGAACGGGGACUGCCCUUCGCAAACUCUCGAAGUUUCGCAAAUGUUCGGCCGCACGAGAUAAUCCAAGCUUGGUAACAAGAUGAUACACUUGGGACGGAGAAUCUCGCGUACAAGCAAUUGAGAUCCUGAGAAGUUAUCUAUCAGAUAACAGCGAACUGUGAACGCCAGCGAGAGUAUAACAUGGCAAAAUGUAAUACGUAACGAACCCCCGUUUCGUACUUGUAGUCGUUGCGGUCGGUGAUAGGCUUGUUUUGUACAUAUCGAGAACUGUUUGUCUACAACAUUCGAAGAAGCGAGACGAAACGAACGAAAGAAAAAUUCCAACGUAUUCUACAUGGGGAAAUUCGGCCAAUAAUUUUUGUUCGUGACUGUACUCGAGCGCAAAAACUGUGGCCACUGUGUGACCAAAAGGCGGAUUCGCCUGCUCAGAAUAAUAAACCUGCUAUGACCUAAUGGCGAACGUAUGCGGUCGAUGGUAGUUUCCCAAACAAUUGUGAACAAUUGUAUUCCUUUAAUAAUAUUUACUCGUGUAUUCUUCUACCUAAUGUAUUCCUUUAAUGAUCAUUUGAACGCUAUAAUACUCGCGAGGAAUGAUGCUGUCACUCGAUAAAAAAAAGAAAAGAAAAAGAUCAGAGGAAAAAGAUCGAUCGAUCUUUCUGGAAUCGUACUAAUGAUAUUCACGGUAAUGAUAUCUUACGACGACACUGAUAAAAAAUCAAACCACGACCGCGGAAGAAUUUUAGUUAGAGGUGUGCCCCGAGUAACAUACGAUUUUCUACCCAAUAACAAAAUCAAAGGCUUCACGUGGUGUUCAUUGAAUUGAGAAUUCCCUUUGAUUCGUCAGAUAACUGUCUCUUAGUUGGUAAGACUGGUGACACCGGAAGUUAAACGGAAGGCGACGCAGGUAGAUAAAGAAGAUGUGCAAGAAAACGGGAAAUAGAGAAAUUACAAAUGUACUCGACAGAAGCUUCCAGACAGUGCUGUCCCAUUAGUCCAUCGCUGUUGACUUUCCUAAGGCAGAACAUUCGAAAAGAAAAAUGACCGAGACACAAAGAAUGAUCAGUGAUUAGAGGUCUGAAAUUCAAGGUCGACGACAAUGAGGACGUUAGGGAAAUUUUCAGGCUAGAAGAAAGGAGGGCCUGAAGUAACGAAGAGAAGAAUUGCAAAGAAUAACUACUUACAUGAUCAUGUGUACUCGCAAUAAAAUGCAAAGAAACAAUGAUCAAAGAUUUGUCUAGAGGAACAGUCUGCAAGAUGACAAAUUCUUAGAACGAGGAAGAAGUAUUUGUUAAAGUUCUCGGUUGUUAAAAUUCUCUUAGCUCUUAACGAGAUCGAGACGUUGUUUUCAACAGUAAGAAAAGUUUAAAGAGCAACGAGUAAGAUUAAGGUAUAAUAUGACAUGAGUGGAGGGAAAAUCGACAAUUCAGAACGUGUGGUCUAAAAGAGGAAAGUUUUUGCCAUGUUUGGAAUCGUAGCGGAACGUGCGGAAGGGCAGAGACAGGCAGAGACCUCCGCAAUAUGUUUGCAAGGGGGUGAUCGUCUUUCUGAUCACAGCGAAAGAAAAACCUGGAAAGGGAUCUAGAUCUUGCUGAAUCCAAUGGAAACGGCGGCUGCGACAUUAAACUAAUUGUAGAGAAGAUUCCGCACAUUUUGCAAAAUUACUGUUACGUUAAUUUUACAAAAUUUCCAGGAGUGAGUAUCUUGUGAAUAUCACUAUUUUCACUGAAGUAAAUUAAUGUUUCAGCAUAAACUAUUUCACGUUUCAUAGACUACUAUGUUUCUGUUAUAAAAUCGAUUUUUUUUUUUUUUUCACGCUAAAUAAUCGAAAAUGAGUAAUUUGGUAUUUUUCUGAGAAAUAAUUCAGGGACACGUUGGAAGAUUUGGACUUGGAGGAAAUCUCUUUGACCUUGCUGAGAACUUCGAACGUCUCGCGUUCGUUCGGAUAUCGUCUCACCCUUAUCAAAAGGGAGCAGACCAAGAGCGCAUGGAAGGAUAGUCGCGACACUCAAGAUGUCGUCGACUGGGAAAAUUAACAUCUUCUAUUCAGAAAAUAGAUUUCACUCAACAUUCGAAUGGAACAAGCACGAACGUACAUUGCCGGCCAUAAAUAUUUGAAUAUCUAUUAUAAAAUAAAUAUUUCAUCUUUUCUUUCAUUUUCCAAGAUACAUGGAGGUAUUUCAAUUCCGUCUUUGACGAUUAAAUAUUUUAAAUCGAACGAAAAAAGAUAAAAACAAUACAAAACUUUGGUUUUCUCAGACGUUUCGAAACGGUAGAUAAGAUGCGUUAACUAACGAUUUUAUUGUGAAUUUAUGAUUUUCUUCUCAUACUACGCGUGAAAUAUUAAUUAAAAUAAAAAUUUGUCAGAGUUCGCCAAUAAAUCUAGUGCCAGUACAAUACUUAUGUGUGCAUUUCAAAUUAAAUAUAUUUGUUUCAUCGCGAGUACGAUUCGCAUCAGUUCUCCUAAUUAAAAUAUAUCGUGGUUGAACAAUUACUCGACAAUGUUUACUACAUGUUCGCAUUAUGAUCGAAAAAUUAACAGAGAAAAACAUAACACGAUAAAAGACAAACGUUGAAUUAUAUUUCACUCUUGGAAAAUAGAACCAAAAUUUUCGACUAUUCAAAUUGAUAUCCGACAUACAAAUUUGAUAAAAAAAUAUGUCAAAGACUAUUUAUCAUUUUCUAUUAUGAAACAAAAUAAUUAUGCCAAAAUUUCAAUUUCAAUUUAAUUAUCUGUAACACUCCAUGAAAUACAGAAUGUACACCACCUCACAUAAAAUAAAACAUAUGCGUAAGCCUAAAGUGAUAUUUAAUGUUUCAGCUAAAUAUAAUUAUAGUUUUAGAAAUGUUCAACAAGUUUAUGCGUACAAAAAUUGGAAUUUUUCAAUGUAGAUCAUUCUAAAUGACAAGGACAUUGAAAUAUUUUUUACUAAUACCUUUUUUAAUUUACCUGAGAAAAGUUAUGAAAAUUGUCCA